rnacentral:rRNA from 1 species
AUACGUAGGUGGCAAGCGUUGUCCGGAAUUACUGGGUGUAAAGGGCGUGUAGGCGGGGAUGCAAGUCAGAUGUGAAAUUCCGGGGCUCAACCCCGGCACUGCAUCUGAAACUGUGUCUCUUGAGUGCUGGAGAGGAAAGCGGAAUUCCUAGUGUAGCGGUGAAAUGCGUAGAUAUUAGGAGGAACACCAGUGGCGAAGGCGGCCUGCUGGACGACAACUGACGCUGAGGCGCGAAAGCGUGGGGAGCAAACAGGAUUAGAUACCCUGGUAGUCCACGCGGUAAACGAUGAAUACUAGGUGUAGGGGGUAUCGACUCCCUCUGUGCCGCAGUUAACACAAUAAGUAUUCCGCCUGGGGAGUACGGCCGCAAGGUUGAAACUCAAAUGAAUUGGCGGGG